UUCAUUUGAGCCAUUCAAGUUCAAUUCAUACAAGAGUUCUAGUGAGAGAGAUAUUGUUGUAAAAGCUUUAUUGUAUAUCUUUCUCAAAAAGGAGAAUUGUCAUUGUGAGAGAAAUCUCAAAUCCGAUCCACAAUCUAUUGUAUCAAGAGGGUUGGUGUGACCCUUGUGAGGUGUGAAGGAGAUUUUCCACCUUGUGAAGAAGAGUAGUGUACCCAUGAAGUGUAAAGGUUUUAACUCCACCUGCAAGGAGUUUGGUUUAGUGGAUUGAAAUCUCAAGUGGUGUGCUUGGGGAGUGGACGUAGGUCAGGUGGACCGAACCACGAUAAAUCGCUGACAUCAGACGGUCUCUCCUUACGUUAGGACGGGUGCGGCUUAGACGGCUGGACGGUCAGGUAACACGUCCGGAUGCGUGCGGCCUUGUUGCAUGCUUAUGUGGCAAUGUGAGUCCGGACGGGUUAGUGAUAUGUCCGGACAGGGACCCCACAGGAUUAAAAAUCGCUUUCUCCCCUAGCUGCAACACCUCUUUGGCUUUUCUUCUCUCUUUUUGUCUCUUUUGGAAUCAUGUCUGCUGACAGUCCACAGCGCAAAGUCUAACAGAGGAUUGAGGAGGAUGUGGCAGCCUUCAGAGCCAAGAUUAUGAACAAGCCUGUCAUUCCUGAGAGGAAUGUUGUUCGUGCAGAUAUUAUGGUUGCUCCACUAGAUAGUAUCCAUGAGAUCAUUCAGACCUAUCACUGGGGAUACCUCCACAACUGCGCCUGCAUUGUGCUCACCAGGCUGGUCAGACAGUUCUAUGCCCAUCUCGAGGUAGUGCAGAAUGAUGACAAUGGCAUUGUUCUAUAGUCCUGCAUUGCAGGGCAUGUUAUCAUGGUUGAUCCUCAGGUCAUCAACUAGAUCAUCGGGGUGCUAGUGCUUUAGAUUUCAGCUAGUCCAUUCAAUGAUGUUGUUUUGGCUCCGUCUUUGGAUGAGCUCAGUGAGUUCUUUCAUGCCGUCCCGCAGGGCGAGGAAC